GGCCCUGCGUCUUGCAUAGGCGCUUCUGGUAAAGUCACUCCUUUAUAGAUAAAGGAGUUGGCGCCGGAUCGUUGCGUCCUCAGGUUGGCUUGUUAUUCCAGGAUAAUCUUGCCUAAUUCAACCCAUGGCAGGCAUAGAAAAGGAGUUCUACAAACUCAAGUCUUGGAGAUAAAGUAAAAAUGUGGUUUUUAAACUGA